rnacentral:ribozyme from 1 species
CACCCAUCUCGUAAAGAAAUUUUUAAAUAACAAAAGGAAAAAAAGAAAAAAGAAAAAAAGAGGAUAAAGAGG